GGGCGAGUGGCAGAGCGGUCGAUUGCAGCAGGCUUGAACCCUGCCGGCCGCCUCCGCGGCCCGUCGGUUCGAAUCCGACCUCGCCCG
rnacentral:tRNA from 1 species